AGUGAACGCUGGCGGCAGGCCUAACACAUGCAAGUCGAGCGGCAGCACGGCAAUAGCAAUAUUGUGGGUGGCGAGCGGCGGACGGGUGAGGAAUGCAUCGGGAUCUACCCUGUCGUGGGGGACAACGUAGGGAAACUUACGCUAAUACCGCAUGAUCUGGAGACAGCAAAGCCGGGGACCCGCGAGGGCCUGGCGCGAUGGGAUGAGCCGAUGUCCGAUUAGCUAGUUGGCGGGGUAAAGGCCCACCAAGGCGACGAUCGGUAGCUGGUCUGAGAGGACGACCAGCCACACUGGAACUGAGACACGGUCCAGACUCCUACGGGAGGCAGCAGUGGGGAAUAUUGGACAAUGGGGGCAACCCUGAUCCAGCCAUGCCGC
rnacentral:rRNA from 1 species